ensembl:snoRNA small nucleolar RNA SNORA61
ACCCUCCAGUUCCCUUUCCCAUUGGAUUUGAACCCUGGUCUCAGUGGUCGUAAAAGGAGGAAUAGUAGUCCUGAAGCUGUGCUCAUAGCAUCUGCUAUAUAGCAUGUGGGCUAGUUUAAAACAAGG